UCCUAUCAGUUCCUCUCCAUUCAUUAGAGAAAGCGAAAAUGGCCCCAUGGCUGAAGUUGGUGUUCUUACUGGCAUCCCUUCAAGGAGUCCAAUCUCAAGUACAGUUGGUGGAGUCUGGAGGGGAUGUUAGAAGACCUGGGGAGUUUCUCCGUCUCUCCUGCCAAGCCUCUGGAUUCACUUUCAGCAACUAUGGCAUGCACUGGGUGAGACAGGCUCCUUGGAAAGGUCUGGAAUGGGUGGCAUAUAUUUGGUCUUCAAAUCUUUACUACUCUGACAAAGUGAAGGGACGCUUCACCAUCUCGAGGGACGAUGCCAAAAGCCAGCUUUAUCUGCAAAUGAACAGCCUCAAACCAGAUGACACAGCUGUCUAUUACUGUGCGAGAGACACAGUGAGAGGAAGUGAAUCUGAAUCCAGUCAAUAA